AAACCCAGGCAGAGGAGAUACCAUAAUCAUGAAAGUGGUUUUCCCAGGGUGAAGCUUAUCCACUGCACUCUGGAUGUGCUGACCUCUGCAAUUUCCCCAAAUGUGGGAAACUCGACAGCAUAAUUUGUGGUAGUGGGGGACUGUGUUCACACCCUCCCCUG